ensembl:lncRNA
CCUGGUGCGAUGGCGCAGAAACCCCGUUGACAAGGCACUGCUUUUUCAUGACGAAAAAAAACAGGAGCUAAUGUGAUAACUCAGUUAGGAACGGCGUCUGCUGCCAAGCCUGCCAACUUGGUUCCUUACCCAGGACCAGGACCACUUAAUGAGCAGCCCUUCACUUCACACUCUACAACCUCGACCUUGGAAUGCUAUCGGGAGAGACCAUGUGGUUAGCCCUUUGCAAAGGCUUGAGUUCCCCUCACAGAAUCUGUCAAAUAGAGGAGCUAGGUAAGGGUGUCAGCAGGGAGGGUGUGCACAUAUUUUGUGGGGGGAGGGAGAGUUUUCACACGUUUUUCUGUGUGUGUGUGGUGUGUAGUGUGUGUAGAGCGUGUACUGUGUGUGUGGUGUGUAAAGUGUAUGUGUAUAGAGUGUACGUGGUGUGUAGUGUGUGUGUACUGUAUGUGUGUGUGUGGUGUG